UCUAACUAAUAAUUCUUAUAUAUCACUUUCUCCAUUUUAAUUGAGUGAUUUUCAAGAUCUUUUACACAAAUUAAGUGAAAAAUGCAAUAAAAUAACCUUUUUUCUUAUAACUAUAACAACACCUUUUUGUUUUUGAAGCAUAGCAACAUUCAUGUUAAAAUAGAGUAUAAAACAGUAAAUGUGUAUUUUUUUUAUAAGUAGUCUAAUGACUGAAAUUAAAGAUAAACAAGUGAAACAUCAUGGGUUCGAACCUGCCCUCCGAACCUGCACUCCUGCACCUUAUGUCCCUACACAACCACACAUGAUAAAUGUGCUUACAUGAAGAUAAGGAGGUGUUAUUAAAAAGAAUGCACAAUUUAAUUGGUUUGCAAAGCUUUAAUAUAAUGAGUUGAGUCAUGUGCCAUUUAAAUUAUUAAAAAAAAAAAGUUAUCUUUGUCUUUGUGAAAUUGUGAGGAAACUAGCCAUGUGUAGUUUUAGUGAAUGAAAAUAAAGCCAAGAGGGUAAAGGUUCUGGAAUUUUGAUUCAUUGCAGAGUCAUUAUGAAUUCAAUGGAGUAUCUACCUGCAACAAAAUUACGAAAUACAUAAAUAAGUCAGAAUAUAUAUCAAUUAGCAAAGACAAUUUUAUGAUCAAGAUAAACAGAUAUCCAAUUUCUAAAUAGUAUAAGCGGAUAGGAAAACUUUGCUUAUUCGACGAAUUAUAUGAAACAAUCUUUGGUGAUGCCUUGUUAGUUAUUGGUUUCUCCUCUUUACUCAAACUAGUUUCAAGUAUCAGGUCCAAAAAAGUUAUUUAUAUCUAUUGCUUAAAAUUCUGUCUUUCCUACUAAACUUAUUUUAUUUUGUUCAUGAACAUUAGUUCCCACACAAUGUCCAUUGAUUUUGUUGAACUGAACUCAUUUGAUGCAGCUGCUGCGCCUGUGACGAAGAAUGGGAACAGCAAUAGGACACUGACGUCACAGAAGAAAAAUACUGCUUCAGAUAGAUCCUUCAAACUCUAAACAUAAGGCAACUUUCCGGUGAGAAGCUCAAGUUACACUAUUCCAUGAUUAGAGAUGUCAAUCUUUAUAUCGACCUUAAAUGGCAUAUACGUUCUGCCGAAUAGAAAAUGACAUCUCUUCACAAAUAUCACUCAAGGCAGUCUGUCUUCCAUAGUAAUCAUCUGUUAAAAAGUUAUGCUUACUAAGCUUUUAACUAGCCUAUAUGAUUAGUAUUUUGAAAACCAUAAAAGGCAUUAUCCUAUUAAAAAAAACAGUCCUAAUAUGUGUGAAGAAUUAUCUACUGACAUAAGUCACAAGUUUUGUGAGACUCUUUGGGAGAAUUUAUGAAAACUGCUUAUGACAUUUUAAAUAAGUUUUUUCAGCUUAUUGUCAUAAGUUCUCCAAAUAACUUGUAAAAACAACUUAGCAUAUAUGAAAACAACUUAACUUUAUUUUAUUGUUUUCUAUAGAAAUAGCUUAUGUAAGUUUAUACCAGUACGCUUGUGCUAUAAGUUGUUUAUCCAAUCAGGGCCUUAUUCCCAUUUCUAUGCUUUAGCAUCACUUUUUGGAACCGAAUGUAGUUUGAACAACAUUUACACUCCAUUUAUCCACACUCUUAACCUUAGCUGACCUAUUCCUUCAUGAAUAAAAACUUCAAGAGGAUAAACAGAAAAUGCAAUCCUUACUCUUGCAUUUCAGGUUGAUGCUAUCAAGGGGGGAAAGCAUGUGAACUGCAACCAAAAAAUCUAGAAGCCUUUUAUCACUGACUAGUGUAAAAUUAAGGGCAUAUUUCAAUUGAAGUUGAACUUAGGGUAACACUUUUUCCAACUUUUGCAAACUGACGAGUAAAAAAGGAGUUGCUUCUGCAAACAGAGUUUGCUAAGUAUUGUAAAAAAUGCUGCUAGUUUUCUAAACAUACACUAAAGCAUAUAUGAAAAAAAAAGGAAGUUUCACAAAGAACCCAAAAAAUUGCUUCUGUAUAUUCCCUGACACCACCAAUUUCCUUGACUGAUACAUAAUCAACAGUGUUAUCAAUUGCGGAUAAUGCAAAAUAGUGGUUUGUUCAAAUUCCACUAUGCAGCAGUGCUAUAUAGCUGCUAUUUGAUAAUACUUUGUAAUAAUUAGUGUAUCGCAGAAUAGUAGCGGUUUGUUCAAAACCCACUACGCGAUAGCACCGGUGGCCAUUACAGCUUCUAUUUAACAACAGCCAAUUAGAUGAUCAUUCAACAAUGUAAUCAACCAAAGCCAUCAUAAGAAAAAAAGAUCACACAAACUAUUAAAUAACAUAUACGUGACUAAAUACAGUUCCAGACAAGUAAAAUGAAGUAGGAACUUACUUUCAGAAAGAAGAAACCGAAGUUUGAACAAAAUACUUGGAAAAGAGCCAACAUAUUUUAUUAGUAAGUAUAGUUCUCGCUACUCUAUUUACUUUCCAAUCAUAGAGACUUGCUUGGUCUUCUAGAUUGUUUGCCAAUAUCAAUGUAUCUCCAUUUUCAGAAAAGUGCACUGACAACCCUUGAGUCUAAGACUUCUCAACUCCACAUCAUCUGCUACACGACAAAAUUGGUUAUCGCCAAAUCAUGAGAAAAACAGAGACAGUUCAUGAAAAGGGCAACAUUUGGCUCGACAAGUAGCACUUCACCAAAGUAUCAAAGGGCAGGCAACUUCCUGUGUUCCUGUUAGGAACCCGAGAAUUCUAAUAUACAAGAUUAGAGGAAUGCGUAAAACAAACUCAAAUAUAUAAAGAUAAAGAUUGCAAAGAGCUGAAGAACUUCUUAUUCAUGUAGUGAGAUUCAAAGAGAAGAUACAACAAGUUUACAAUGAAGAAGAUAACCUUGCACACAAAGCAACCCCAAAAGAGCACUCACACUUCUUUCACACUAAAUAAUUCUCUAAUCACAAUUUCAUUAUUCAAAGAUAUCUUUCCCCUAACCAAUGGAAAGCUAUCUAAAGAUUUUCUAAGAAUAACCAAAGUAACAUCUCCUAACAAACUUAUCAACUUACUAACUUUUAACUAAUAUAAUUAUCCAAUAUUAUUUAUCCUAAUACUUUCUCCAUUGCCAAACCAACAAAAAUAUCACAAAUUGCUCAACAAUAAUAAUAUUCCAAUUUCUAAUAAUACCUGAAAUUAUUGUAAAUGGCCAACCAGUUAAGAGCAUCCAUCCAAUACACACCACCAGCCACCCGGGGACAAAUAUAGUGCAACUGAAGAGACCAAGAGAAAACUAAUAAAAUUUAUCAAAGCAUUGCCACCCAAACCGAAAGCUCUCACUCCGGUUCUCACUUGACCUUUAAUGUGAACAUUGAAGUUUAGCGCCAUGGACCACCAUGUUCCAAGUGUCUGAUGAAUUAUUAUAAUCAAACAAAAACUUGAAAGAGCUAGAUAGAUGCCUGCCAAAAUGACAAGAAAGUAACAACAAAAAUUAGUUACCAAAAGUGAAGUUUUUAGAUUUUUAUAAUUAAUUUUAUGAUGACAAAGUUAAUUGAUAAAAAGUAAAAAAACUUCAAACUUUUUAAAAUAUAAGCCAGUAAUUUUCAUUUAGAUUUGUUUGGAUGGCAUGAGAAAUCAAAUUUACAAGCUCCAAAAUUCAAUGGUAAACAAGAUGGAGUUUGGCUAACUUUUUAGCAUCCUAUAAUCAACUUUGGAAUAUAUGAUACCUAGCUUCAUUCUUCUUUUUUUCAACACAACUGAAGGUUCGUACGAAAAGAGAAUGAAGAUGGAAGAGAAUGAAUUUAUUAUUUGACAUCUCUAUUGUGAUUAUCAAUUCUGGAUAGCGACGCAUCGCAACUUAGUCUUAUAAAAGCUAUUGCGAGAUGGCCGCUAUUCGGAAUUUCUUAAACAUAAUAAAUAAUUAUUACUGUAAAAAUAAAUGCUGAAAGAUUAAAACAAUACUCAAUUCAUGAAAUAUUCAUAAAUUAGAAAUAAUUAAAUUCAUAGGUCUUAUGCAAAACAUAAAUGUAAAUAACAAAAGAAAGUACAAAAAAACAAACAAGGUUAAGCAUCAGAGGUUUAAAGUAACUACCAAAGGUUUAUUAUGUAGGAGAUCCAGGGUUCGAUACCUAUUACUAACAAAUUUUUCCUUCCCUUGACAAAUUACCACUAACAUUCCAAAUUCAAAAAAUGGCUAUUAAAAUAAGGUUUUUCUUUUGGAAGCAUUUAGCAGGCCGCAAACACCUGCAAUAUUGGUCGAACAAUGGACGCUACUGCCGCCAGUGGCAGAGCUUUGUUGGGGGAAGGGAUGUACUAUACUAUUCGUGUUAUAUGAUAUAAUACACACUUUGGCGUAGUGGUCGAGGACACUUUUGACCUAUGAUGACACGGGAUCGAAUCUCGGUGAUCUUGGUUUUGCAUCUUUUUUAUUUUCCUUUUCCAAGAAUAAAUAAAUACUCCAUCAAAAUGGAAAUAUUUAGGUUUGAACUCCAAUACUUGAAGGGAAAACAAAGGGUCAUAACCACUAUGCAUAUUUCGACCCCCUCAUAUAACGAGGCCAUGCUCCCCACCGACAGCCGCUAUAGCAAACCACUCCGUUACCAACUCGCAACUGUGGCCACUCGCCACUGCUAUAGCACGCUGUUGGAUACAUAGAUCUCUAAAACUCAAAUUAUCCAAUGCUUAUUGGAAAAGGGAACUACAAAAUUUUAGAGUUUAGAAGAUAUUUUAAGAAGCUUGGAUUUGAUUCAAGUUAAAAGUGAGUUUCCAUAAGAGUAGUGUAAGAAUAAAACUUAAUGCAAUUAUAAAAUGUUGGGGCUGAUUUUCUGUUUGGAAUUGCAAAGUUGAUUGCUUACCACUUAAGUAAUUGAAAUCAACUGCAUAUAUAGGAUAAAAACUAAUAGGGUUUAAAGGCGGAAUAUCCUUUCAUCAAUAAAAUGAUGAAUUCUGUUGCACCUUCAUGUAACUACCUUAGUUAGCUAGAGUUCUAUAAAUAGAGAGAGCAAAUUUGGUAUAAUACAUUCAAGAAAAUUUUAUAAAAGAAUUUGUAACUAAUCGACCAUAGGUAUAAUGCGUAGGAGCAAAUUAUAUAAAAAGAAUAUACAUAAAAUAUCAUAUGAUCAAUCACAUAAGCAUGUAUAAAUGCUGGAACAAACAAAUCUAAAUUAGACCCGAGAAAGGAAAGUCUUUUUAUAUAGAGCUUGGGGAAAUUUGGAAUAAUGCAAUACAGAAGCUUGGUAGAAGACCAAGGAUGCUUCACCAUUCAUGUAAAAUCAAAUAGGGGCUUGUUGCUUCUCACCAUUAGAAUCUGAAUAAUUGAAAGAAUAAGUAUGGUUUUAGACAUGUAAGCAUGUUGCCUACACGGCUUAAUUUAGUAAGAAUGACUACCCAAAACUAGGGGUCGCAAACGGGCAUGUCUGCCCCGUUUAGGCCCGCCCCGCAAAAGCCCGCAAAAAAAUGGGGCGGGCGGGGCGGUCAUAGUUGAGGAUGUGGGCCUAAAAAUGAAUCCAGCUUUCUAUGUUUUUGCCCAAAUCAUAUCCUAGCAUGUAUAAAUAGAACCCUAUAUAAGCUGCACUAAAUGUGUUAAAAGGAGAAAACAUCAACAACCAAGUCUUAUAACACUAAGUGGGAUCGGCUAUACGGAUGAAACGGUGCCAUAAUGUUCUACAAUAUAUCAUAUCUCUAACCAACUAAUUAACCUCUAGAUAUUUCUUAAUAGUUUCGCUCAUAGUUUUUCUAGAUCUUCCUCUACUCAGGUGAUUUGACUACUCUCCAUUUGAUCCACCCUCUUUACUACAAAAUCUACGUCUCAACAAGCCCAAACAACCUAAGCCAAUUUCUUAAUAGUUUCGCUCAUAGUUUUUCUAGAUCUUCCUCUACUCAGGUGAUUUGACUACUCUCCAUUUGAUCCACCCUCUUUACUACAAAAUCUACGUCUCAACAAGCCCAAACAACCUAAGCCAGGUUUCCACCAACUUCUCUAUGAUAGAUGCUACCCCAAUUUUCUCUCUAAUAUCAUUUAUAACAUAGUCUUGUCUAGUAUUACCAAUGUCAUACUUCCGACACAUUAUCCACAUCUCCGCUACACUUAUUUUAUUUUUCUGUUGGUUCUUUACCGCCGAACACUCUGACUCAUACAACAUUUCCGCUUUUACAAAUAUAAGAUAAAAUUUUCCCUUCAACUUGAGCGAUACUUUUGGUAUCACAUAAAACACUUGAGACCCUACUCUAUCUCAACCACCCCACUUGAAUACGAUGGUUUACAACUUCUACUUUUUCUCUAUUUGAUACUGUGGACCCAAGGUAUUUAAACUGCGUAACUUGUAGUAUGACAUAUAAUUGUAGUAUGACAUGAUAUGAUCUCCAACUUUCAUCUCUAAGCUAGGGAUGCUUUAUUCUACUUUUUCUCUAUUUGAUACUGUGGACCCAAGGUAUUUAAACUGCGUAACUUGUAGUAUGACAUAUAAUUGUAGUAUGACAUGAUAUGAUCUCCAACUUUCAUCUCUAAGCUAGGGAUGCUUUGCCUUGUAAAAAAAUUGCAUUCCAUAUAAUCUAAUAAAGAAUCGAUAAGUCCUUUUGAAUUGGAAAAAGAAAUUGAAGAAGAAAUCAUUAAACUUCGUUUGAAGUACAAAUCAUGAUUUGUUCAUCACAAUUAUUGUUUAGUAGAGUGAAAGGAAAAUGAAGCAAUAUCUGAAAUAAUGAGCACCAUGGGAAGAAGUGUGAAUCUCUCAAUUGCUUGCUCUCAUCACUCGGGACUUUGACACCUCCUGCUGCAUCUACGUUAAACAGAAGCAAGAUAGUUUUUCUUUUCCUUGUACCGAUAGGUGUACUCAUUGUUUUAAGUUGGGCUGAAUAUAUGUACCGAUUGAGUUUUUCUGGCUACCUUGUUAGUCGCAAAACCUUUUGUUUAAUGAGUGAGUUGCUGGCAAUGAAUUUGUUGCCACUAUAUAGUUUCCCCUAAAAGGAAAUUUUGUUAAAAUGAUAUUUUGGGAUCACAGGGAAGAUGACACUUGCACUUUAAAUGGGUAAACAUGAGACACAUUAUUAAAGGAGUCACUCAUGUAAUAUUGUGGGAUUUAUUAAGUAAGCUCACAUGAGCUUACCGUAGGAUUAAUGUACACUAGUAUAGCCUUGUAACAAAAUGUUAGUUACAAUUAGAACAUAUCUAACAGAUUGUAACUAACUGACUGACAAGUGUCAGUCAGCCCUAGGUCUUACCUGCUACAGCAGGUCAUCAACAAGAUCUAUAAAUAGAUCUAAUCCAGUGUAACUAACAAUCAAUAAAAUCACAAAAUCACAAUUCAGUUUUCUCCAUUAAUUCCAAGAGAAUCAUGGCCAAUAUUCAUAACUCUAACACACAUUGUGACAAAUAAACCAAAUAAUGAGAAACAAAGAAAAGCAACAUCCGACCAUAGAUCACUAGAUCUUGAGCAACUGCAACAUUAUUCCUAAUAUACUCAAAUGAUCUUGAAAACAGUGCACUUAAAUUAUAAAAAAGAUUUGGAGACAUUCACCUGCUUCUAAACAAACAGGCAGGAGAAGAGUUGUAAAACAGAACAACUAUUAAGCAGUGAGUUGCUUCAAAUGUUUUCGAAGAAACCUAAACGAAAGACAUCAAGAGGGCCAUAAAUGUCUGGUACAAAACGAGUACUGUAACUGUAGCUCCAAAUAAGCUUCUUACUUCUUUUUCUCCCACCAUCCCAGAAUGUACCAUUAAUUAGGGUUGAAGUGCCUGAAGCUAGGAUUGUAGAUCCAUAAUUUAAAAAAUACUCUGUUAGACAUGAGAGUGAAACUGCAAAAUACAAUAAUAAAGAAACAAAAACACAAGAAACAAAAAUUGCAAAAUUCUCUAAAAUGUGCUCAUUUUUCUCAACGAAUAAUAAAGAAAUUAGCUUGACCUGACCAUGACUGCAAGCUUAUAUCAUCGGUGACACAAGGGUUGUGUAAUAAAAAAAUUGAUAGUAUAGCAAUAUCAUUAUCAUUAUAAGAUAUAAAAGUAAAAUAAUUUCCAAUACCUAAGUUAGUGUGGAAAUACUUGAUCUGAUGUGAAAAAAUUCAGAUCAAGAAGCAUACUAUAAAUUAAUUUACAACACAUUCUUAUUUAUGGACAGUUAAAACAUACCGAAAACAUAAUUCUAAACAAGGCAAUAAAUCAGUCGGUUCAAUAUAUUAUUUGUAAGAAAGUUCUGAAGUAAAUGAAAUUAAUAAUGCAAAAACUGAAUUUCCUUUUUGAAGAAACACCUUCAAGCUAAUGAUCUUUAAAAUGUUAUCUAGCUUCUUAUAAAUAAAAAAUAAAAACAAAUUCAUUUGAUUCAAAGAUUGUCAAGCCUUAAACCAUAUCAACCAAAACCAUCAAAUAGAAAAGCAUGGAACGUAUAUAACAAUACAAAGAUCGACACAAAUUCAAAAAGUAUAAUACCUAUAAGACGGCAGCUCCUCCAAAAUGUCAGAAAACAA
rnacentral:lncRNA from 1 species